rnacentral:misc_RNA from 1 species
AAAUCAGGAGCCGUAUUUCUGACCCUUAGUGCAGCAUAUGACACAGUGUGGAGAUCUGGUCUUCUUCUGAAGUUAGCAAGGAUCCUGAAAUUCAAGGCAACCGUCAAUCUCUUUGGAGCUAUAUUGAGAAACCGUACAUGCAGAGUGUCUCUUUAUGGUAAACUCAGCACUAUAAGAAGAUUACAAAAUGGUUUACCUCAAGGAUCGGUUCUUUCACCAAUGUUUUUCAAUGUUUAUACUGCAGACCUGCCUGUUACUCAAUCACGCAAGUUUAUUUAUGCCGAUGACAUUGGGCUUGUUACUCAAGGUCGAAAUUUUGAACAGCUCCAAAUUGUGUUGAAUGAGGACUUGGAGUUAAUGGCAGAAUACUUCCAGCAGUGGUUCUUGAAGCCAAACCCGUCCCAAACUGUCUCAACAAUAUUCCAUCUCAGUAACCAGCAUGCAAAAAAGACAAUUGAUCUCAGGUUAUGUGGCAAAAGAAUAUCUCAUCAGGAAGCUCCCCAUUACCUAGGAGUCAGACUUGAUAGAUCCCUCACAUAUCGACAACAUCUGCAGGUGUUGAGAGAUAAACUGGAGACAAGGCUAAAUAUCAUCAUUAAACUUGCGGGAACAACCUGGGGUUGUGACAUGAAUGCCCUUUGAACAUCAUGUCUUGCACUUCUGUACAGUACAGGGGAGUACUUCUCUUCUGUCUGGGCUCGCAGCAGACAUGUUGAGAAAAUUGAUACAGUUUUCAAUGAAACUAUGAGGAAGAUUAGUGGGACAUUCAGACCAACAGAGACUGAGUGGUUGCCUAUGCUUAGUAACAUCAUGCCUCCAGAUCUCAGAAGGUUGGAGAAGAAGAACAAGUUCAUUUCCCAGUUGCAACACAUUCAUAAGGAUCUCCCAGUCUCUAGAGAUUUGGCUAACCCUCCACCAAGGUGCCUCAAAUCAAGAAGAUACUUGAGACUUGACGAGCAGGAGGAAAUUAGAAGUGCAAGGGAGUUAUGGAGACUGAGAUGGUUGCAGGGAGAGGUCAGGAACAAAGGCCUUGUGUAUGACCCUAAUGACAUUGUUCCUGGCACCCAGCUGAGAUGUAGAGAUUGUUGUUGCCUUAAGGUUUGUACCCACUAGAACGUACCAGACACAGACCGUGUCUGACCAUGCAAGGCACGUAAAAUAACAACUAUGCCCACUACAACGAAUCAACAGCGUUCUAUGCCAGUACAUUACGCAUAUGGUACGUGUAUGGUAUGCAUAUGAUAUGCGUAUGAUGCCCGGUCAGAAGUUGUUGGGAACGCAUCAGUUAGCAAGAGAAUGUAGCGGUGAACAGAUGUAUGUAUAUUGCAUUGUUGUGAAAUAGUGUUCUAAUCAGUGUUCACAUAAUUAUUUUUAAAUAUGACUAUUAGGCGAUUAUCAUUAACAGAAUUGGCAAUGGUUGCAAUUAUUUUGGACGAGGAAGAGGAAAAUAGAGGAACUCAGAGGCGCUAUUGGAUUCACGAAUCUCUAAGAAAACGGAAAACUGAGGGGGAGUAUUGGACAUUAUAUAGGCACCUAAUGGAUGAUGAAGCAAAGUUAUUUCGUAUUUCCGUAUGACAUCAUUCUAGUUUAAUGAAUUGUUGAGAAAAAUUGAAAAUGAUAUAACCAAGAGAAACACUCAAUUACGAGACAGUCUGUCACCUAAAGAAAAGCUAGCUGUUUGUCUAAGGUAAUUGGCAACUGGUGACUCAUUUAGAACAAUUGCUUUCAGCUAUAGAAUGGGGGUCAGUUCUGUGAGACGUUCAGUUUUUGAAGUUUCUAACGCUAUAAUAAACAACAUGUUGAGUGAAAUGAUUCCAACACCCACUACAGAGCAAUGGGAAAAAAACAUUGAAGAGUUUUGGUCCAAGUGGAACUUUCCUAAUUGCCUAGGUUCAAUUAUUGAUGGAAAGCAUAUUGUGAUUGUAGCACCUCCAAACAGUGGUUCCCUAUAUUUUAAUUACAAAAAAACAUUCUCCAUUGUACUUAUGGCUUUAGUUGAUGCUAAUUAUAAUUUUAUAGCUGUAAACGUCGGU